rnacentral:siRNA from 1 species
GCCGUUAGGCGCGUGCUGCAGA